rnacentral:rRNA from 1 species
UACGUAGGGACCGAGCGUUGUCCGGAAUCAUUGGGCGUAAAGAGCGUGUAGGCGGCCACUUAAGUCCUGCGUGAAAUCUUGCGGCUCAACCGCAAGCGGUCGUGGGAAACUGGGUGGCUAGAGUGCGGGAGAGGAGAGUGGAAUUCCUGGUGUAGCGGUGGAAUGCGCAGAUAUCAGGAAGAACACCGGUGGUGUAAGCGGCUUUCUGGACCAUAACUGACGCUGAGGCACGAAAGCGUGGGUAGCAAACAGG